GACGAACGCUGGCGGCGUGCCUAAUACAUGCAAGUUGAGCGCUGAAGGUUGGUACUUGUCCCGACUGGAUGAGCAGCGAACGGGUGAGUAACGCGUGGGGAAUCUGCCUUUGAGCGGGGGACAACAUUUGGAAACGAAUGCUAAUACCGCAUAAAAACUUUAAACACAAGUUUUAAGUUUGAAAGAUGCAAUUGCAUCACUCAAAGAUGAUCCCGCGUUGUAUUAGCUAGUUGGUGAGGUAAAGGCUCACCAAGGCGAUGAUACAUAGCCGACCUGAGAGGGUGAUCGGCCACAUUGGGACUGAGGCACGGCCCAAACUCCUACGGGAGGCAGCAGUAGGGAAUCUUCGGCAAUGGACGAAAGUCUGACCGAGCAACGCCGCGUGAGUGAAGAAGGUUUUCGGAUCGUAAAACUCUGUUGGUAGAGAAGAACGUUGGUGAGAGUGGAAAGCUCAUCAAGUGACGGUAACUACCCAGAAAGGGACGGCUAACUACGUG
rnacentral:rRNA from 1 species